UUUGCUUAUACUAACAAGUGGGCUAGCUAGCAAAGCCAAAAUCUUAACCUUAUGCAUAGGCUAAACAUUGCCAAGAAUCUGUCUCUGACAUCAUUCCACUUAGCACACCCAUCACCUUAAAGGCUUAUAAACUAUGCAAACAUUGAGGCAUGCCAUGCUUUCUUCCAUUUCCAUUGCACGGAAGCUCUUUUUACUGACUCUUGCCGUCUCAACUUCAAGAUCUCACUGUCCAAUCGUCCAAUCCAAUGUGUGUGAACUUUGAAAUAUGUGAGAGAACACAUCUAAUGCUCUUGCCCCUUCAGGCACUCCCAUGAUCAAGUAGAUCAAAGCAGUGAAAAUGGUCAUGAGUAUUUUCUAAAAAUUUGCACAACAUUCUAAAUUCGAUCUAAAAUGCCCCCCAAAACCCAACCUCAACCCUAAACUCUAUGUUUUUACAAAAAAGUACCAAACUCUACCAACAAGAAAACCUGAAAAUAGCA
rnacentral:lncRNA from 1 species